GAUGAAGAACGUCGCGAAAUGCGAUAAGUAAUGUGAAUUGCAGAAUUCAGUGAAUCAUCGAAUCUUUGAACGCACAUUGCGCCCGCCAGUAUUCUGGCGGGCAUGCCUGUUCGAGCGUCAUUUCAACCAUCAAGCCCCCGGCUUGUGUUGGGGACCUGCGGCUGCCGCAGGCCCUGAAAAGCAGUGGCGGGCUCGCUGUCACACCGAGCGUAGUAGCAUACAUCUCGCUCUGGGCGUGCUGCGGGUUCCGGCCGUUAAACCACCUUCAUAACCCAAGGUUGACCUCGGAUCAGGUAGGAAGACCCGCUGAACUUAAGCAUAUCAAUAAGCGGAGGA
rnacentral:misc_RNA from 1 species